CCAGCCCGCUCAGAAACUUAAAGGAAGUUGACGGGGCCCGGCACAAGCGGUGGAGUAUGUGGUUUAAUUCGAUGCAACGCGAAGAACUUACCUGGUCUUGACAUCCCGGAGACCCUUAGGAAACUAGGGGUGCUUCCAUCUGGAAGAAUCUGGAGACAGGUGCUGCAUGGCUGUCGUCAGCUCGUGUCGUGAGAUGUUGGGUUAAGUCCCGCAACGAGCGCAACCCUUGCCUUUAGUUGCCAGCAGUUCGGCUGGGCACUCUAAAGGGACUGCCGGUGUUAAACCGGAGGAAGGUGGGGAUGACGUCAAGUCCUCAUGGCCUUUAUGACCAGGGCUACACACGUACUACAAUGGCCGAUACAAAGGGCAGCGACACUGCGAGGUGAAGCCAAUCCCGUAAAAUCGGUCUCAGUCCGGAUUGGAGUCUGCAACUCGACUCCAUGAAGUUGGAAUCGCUAGUAAUCGUGAAUCAGAAUGUCACGGUGAAUACGUUCCCGGGCCUU
rnacentral:rRNA from 1 species